GGUAAGUUUUGUUUUCAAGAAAGCGCCACGUUAUUAACGUGGUUACACAAACAUAAGGAUCAUGUACACAUCUCGCACCAAAUGUUGCUAUUCUGCUUUGCACUGGAAGGAUAAAGUUGAUAAGGUUAUUGCUACUACAACUUGUUCUGUGCAGAUGGCCCAAAAGAAGGAGCGAGGCGGGCAUGGGCUCUGGCUUUGAAGAGAGAGAGAGAGGUUUGUGCCAAAACAAUGCUGAUCUGAUGCUGCCACUUACCUCCUGAGCAAACUGUUCGGCUCAGAGAGCCAUCAAUUUCAACUUCAACUUCCCCAAACACUUGUCCAAGGGUAGUUCCAGUCCUGUGUUCCACUCUUCAUGGAGGGCAUGGGGUGACUGUCUGCGUUUGUGACCCUCCAGUCAGCAUUGAGUUGACGGGCUACAGACACUUGCAGUUGGAGAACAGGCUGUGAACUGCUGAUAUCCUGCGCCCUUCAGCACAGUGAGCGCCAGUGCCACAGAUCAACGCAAUGUUUGAGCUGCCACAGACACCUUCAUCUUUUGGCCAUCAAAGUCAACAUGCCUUCUGAUCACCUUGUUUUUGCUGCAUGAAGACCCUCAGGAUCCUGAACAUUAUUCAGAUCAACAAUGUGUUGCCAUUUAACUGUUCCAAAGGGACUGAUGAUAGGACCGUAAGCCUUGAGCAUAUUUCUAGCUAAUUUCCUGAUCAGGUAGAUAUCUUCCCCUGAGGAAGGGUUGGUAAAUGAGGUCUUCAGAGGCUGUUCUUCUGGAUUUUACCAGAUAUGUUUCGACGGUAGGGUCACAGGGAUGUUGAUGUGUCAUGUGCUUUGAAAUGAGCUGAUGUUGUUAUGGAGGUGUGCCCUCCCUGUCAAUAUUGACAGGUUGGUCACACUUCCUACUGAGUUAUCCUUUUUGGAUGGUGGUCUAGGUGUGUGACUGCAUGUAUGCCCCCUCAUCCCUGUGAACAAAAACCAGGGAUGAGGGGGCAUACGUGCUCUAACACACCUGGCCCACCAUCCUAAAAUGACCACUCUAACAGCAGGAGGUUUGACCAAUAUCAACAGGGAGGGCACACCUCCACAACAACGUCAACUGAUUUUAAAGCACGUCACAUCAACAUCCCUGUGACCCUACCAUCGAAAUGUCUGAAGUACAUUGGUUAAUGGAUGGUUGUGGCGGGGUUCUGAUGUUGAUUGUGUAUAUAGUUGUCUUUUUUCAAUAAAUUGAAGUGUGGUCAGGCCUUGCUGUGUACUUUCAUUGCCAAACUCUGCUUAAAGGAUAACUCCAGCCAAUUUCAACAUGCAGUUGUAUUGCUCACACUACCCUCGACUUAUCUGGUGAUGCUGCAUUUUUUGGCUCAGCCCUUUCCGGGAUUUGAGCUAUUCUAAUGGGGGCAGAUUUUGUUUAUCGCUGUUUGCUAGUUGUCUGAUUUUGCAUAACCUUUUGGAUGUUUUGGGGAAUAAAUCAAGAUGGUUUUUUUUAUUAUUAUUUAGUGGGAGCAUGUUGAAAUUGGCUGGAGUUAAACUUUAAGUUUCCUAUUUUUUUUGUUUUUUAACGAUUCACUGAAACCAUUGUAAAUAUUUGGGAAUAAAGUAGUCAAAGCAAUCUGUUGCAUUGCUUAAAUAUUAUGGUAAUGGGAUUACAUUACUGAUAACAUAUGU